AUCCUUUCCCCGUGUCACGUGGAACGAGCCAGAGCAGCAAGGUGCUUUAAGGUAGAAAAUAAACGUAAAAUAAGAUACCUCUCCUCCAAAGGAGGAACCUCCAAACCUUACCCUGCCGUCCCGUGUCUGGGUGGAUAAAAUUAUAAGGGUCACCACGUGCGGCCUUUUUAGGACAAUUAUGACGUAAUUUUGGUCACACAGGAGGUGCCCCUAUCUGGGUACGCGUGUGCCUGUGUGCGUUUAUUGCACUUCACCGCCAUACGCCGCACGAACGCGGGUGCGCCACCUACCUCGAGGACCGACAGCAGCACAUAGGACCGACAGACAGACAGAACCGAGCCAGACAUGCAAUAACGUGUUGCACUGAGAGCGGAAGACGGAUAUUCGGGGCAAAAGAGGCGUGAUUGUAAAUAUUACAGCUACACGAAAAAGGAGGAUGUAAAUUAUGAAAUUCUCGUUCGAAAAGAAGGUCCUUCCAGCAUUAAUUGAUUGGUCCGUUAAAUUGUAAUCCCGCCUGGUGUUCCCGGAUGGUCUUGAAAACUGAACAGCACACACCACGAAUGCCUGGUCACGUUCGGUUAUGUCCAAUAAAACGGACCGGCUAGCAGAGACCUACUGUGGCACGUGCCACGACCACAAGGGUGUCAUGUGCAGCGCACACAUCGGAAUACGUAGAAGGUGGACUCAACAGAGCAACAACAAAAAAAGUUCCAUUUCGGACACGGACGGGUUCCGGGGAGGAACAACAAUUAUCACACUGGGUAAUGAUGAGGUUCGAAACAGAGAAGACAAAAACUCCCAGAUGUUAUCGAAUGCGUCGGAUGUAGCUUUCGGGAGUAGCUCGUUAGCGUUGCAACCUGGCUCGUCGGCUCCCUGAGGAGGACACAUUUUGGUCGCCGUUUUUGUUUGGCGGAUCGGUAAUUAAUUCAAUGUCAGGGCACACACAAGUGCUUUUCGGUGCUUUUUGGGCUAGGCGCUUUCAAAGGUAGUGCUAUAUAUGAUGUUUGCUAGGGAAGGU